GGAGAGGUGGCAGAGUGGUUGAAUGUACCGGUCUCGAAAACCGGAGUACCUGCAAGGGUACCGUGGGUUCGAAUCCCACCCUCUCCGCCA
rnacentral:tRNA from 1 species